UCCGUUGUAGUCUAGCUAGUUAGGAUAUUCGGCUCUCACCUGAAAGACCCGAGUUCGAGUCCCGGUAACGGAA
rnacentral:tRNA from 1 species